rnacentral:lncRNA from 1 species
AUUUACAAUACAUUUGAAAACGGAAAAAAUAAAAAAUAUUACAGACAUGUAGAAUUCUGUAUGGAACAUUUCCAAAACGAUGCACAUGAUCAUAAAUAUUUCACAUCAGAAGAUCUACACUUAAGUUUACCUAGACUACCAUUAAUUUACUGUUGUAAAAUGGUGCAACUAAGAUGUAGAUUUUUGUAUUCAAGUUCAUCAUUAAUUAAGCUGCAAAACUAUCUGAGGCCAAGAAUUUUUCAUGUUUUAAAGCAGACCUUAAACCUAUUUUGACGUUAAUCAUUUAGCCAUACAUGAAUAAUAACAUUGGAACAUUAAGAAGCUGUGAAAUUUUAUAUGCAUAAUAAUUUUCACACACUUAAUCAAACUUAAGAUGUUUUUGAGGUAAUUUAAAUGAUGCCAAUACUAUAUGAAUUUGUAAUUUUUACCUGUUUGGAAAAUUGUAUAUUUCUUAACAAUUUUUUAUUUCAUUUGUUCAUAUAUGUGUGUUUUUUUAAUAUUUUGUAAUUGUUUGUUAUGUUUCAUUGUAUUUUAUGAGGGCCUCAGAUAAGAUUAGUUUUAUAGCUAACAGUGAAACCCAUUUUAAAUAAAGAAUUAUAAUUAUUAUUAUUAUUUUAAAUCUGUCAGGUACUGUAUGCAAUAUUUUAAUCAGUUUCGAUACAGCUUUAUCUCACUUCCAGUGGCCAACUUUUUUUCACAUUAAUCUCACUUGUAUUAAAGAAUUUAAAAAUUCAAAUUACUUCACUGGAUGAAAAUCUAUUUCAAGGAUUAACUGCUCUUUCAGACUCUUUUAUCAUCUAUUAAUUAAUAAGACUGCUACUCUAGAGUUGUAAAUGUUCUGAGGGUGUAUGUGUGCAAACAGAAAGCAAAUUACUACACUAGAUGAAAAUCCAUUUCGAGGUUUGACAGCUCUUUCAAGAUUUUUAUUAAUGCAAUCCUCUUUGAAUUUAUGUAUUUGGGAACAUGUCCUACAAUAAAAUUAUCUCACUUGACGAAAAUCUCUUUAAAGAUUUGAAUGCUCUUACAGACUUUUUUAUUUUUCUUUUGACGGCUCUUUCAGACUUUUUUAAUUAUUAUAGUAGUCCUCUUUAAUUUGUAUUUAUGUAUUUGGGAACUUGUCGAAAAAGUAAAAUUAUUUCACUUGAUGAAAACCUCUUCAAAGGAUUGACUGCUCUUUCAGACCUUUUUAAUUAUUUAUUAGUAAGACAGCUAUGCAAAUAUAUUUCGAGGUUUGACAGCUCUUACAAACAUUUUUAUUUGUGCAAUCGUCUUUGUAUUUAUGUAUCUGGGAACUAGUUCUUAAGUAAAAUUAUUUCACUUGACGAAAACCUCUUCAAAGGUUUGAAUGCUCUUAGACGUUUUUAUCAUCUAUUAAUUAAUAAUUAAUUAAUUAUUUUUAUUUUGCUAUUCAAGAAUUUUAAAUGUAUUUGAGGACUUGUACAGCAAUCAAAUUACAACACUGGAUGAAAAUCUAUUUCGAGGAUUAACGGCUCUUACAA